rnacentral:rRNA from 1 species
AUUGAACGCUGGCGGCAGGCCUAACACAUGCAAGUCGAACGAGUGGCGGACGUGUGCGUAAUGUCUGGGAAACUGCCUUAUGGAGGGGGAUAACUACUGGAAACGGUAGCUAAUACCGCAUACCAUCGGAUGUGCCCAGAUGGGAUUAGCUAGUAGGUGGGGUAAAGGCUCACCUAGGCGACGAUCCCUAGCUGGUCUGAGAGGAUGACCAGCAAAACUGGAACUUAGACACGGUCCAGAGUCCUACGGGAGGCAGCAGGGGGGAAUAUUGCACAAUGGGCGCAAGCCUGAUGCAGCCAUGCAGCGUGUAGGAAGAAGGCCUUCGGGUUGUAAAGUACUUUCAGCGGGGAGGCGUUACCCGCAGAAGAAGCACCGGCUAACUCCGUGCCAGAAGCCGCGGUAAUAC